rnacentral:rRNA from 1 species
GACAGAGGAUGCAAGCGUUAUCCGGAAUGAUUGGGCGUAAAGCGUCUGUAGGUGGCUUUUUAAGUCUGCCGUCAAAUCCCAGGGCUUAACCCUGGACAGGCGGUGGAAACUACCAAGCUGGAGUACGGUAGGGGCAGGGGGAAUUUCCGGUGGAGCGGUGAAAUGCGUAGAGAUCGGGAAGAACACCAACGGCGAAAGCACUCUGCUGGGCCGACACUGACACUGAGAGACGAAAGCUAGGGGAGCGAAUGGG